CCUACAGGUCUGAGCACAAGGAUCUUGGAGUUUAAAACUCCUGGACUCAGCCAGGGAAGCCCAUUCCCUUUCCUUUCAGGACCCAGGUACAGAAGGAAUGUCUUGGGAGGGCCUGGACAGGUCAGUCCCUGGUCAGCUGUUGUGCAUCUGGGAAGUACCUGUAUCAGCAGCACCGGCACAGGGUGGAGGGUGAGCAAGGGUCCGGCCUUUUCUCCUGUCUUCCAGGAGAAUUCCACUGGGUCUGCAGGGCAGGAAUACUAAUGGGGAGAGGAGGUGACAGUGUAGAGGUCUCCAGUCUCCGACCUCAGGUUGUACUCACCCAGAAUGUCACGAUCACCCACGACCUGAUGAACAUCUGUCUGAAAAGGGCCACAGCACAGG
rnacentral:lncRNA from 1 species